rnacentral:rRNA from 1 species
UACGGAGGGUGCAAGCGUUAUCCGGAAUGAUUGGGCGUAAAGCGUCCGCAGGUGGUUGUGUGUGUCUAUUGUCAAAGCAUCAUGCUUAACAUGAUAAAGGCAGUAGAAACUACACGACUAGAGUGCGUUCGGGGCAGAGGGAAUUCCUGGUGUAGCGGUGAAAUGCGUAGAGAUCAGGAAGAACACAGGUGGCGAAAGCGCUCUGCUAGGCCGCAACUGACACUGAGGGACGAAAGCUAGGGGUGCGAAUGGG